rnacentral:rRNA from 1 species
UACCCUUUCCUGCGGAAUAGCUCCGGGAAACUGGAAUUAAUACCGCAUACGCCCUACGGGGGAAAGAUUUAUCGGGGAAGGAUUGGCCCGCGUUGGAUUAGCUAGUUGGUGGGGUAAAGGCCUACCAAGGCGACGAUCCAUAGCUGGUCUGAGAGGAUGAUCAGCCACAUUGGGACUGAGACACGGCCCAAACUCCUACGGGAGGCAGCAGUGGGGAAUAUUGGACAAUGGGCGCAAGCCUGAUCCAGCCAUGCCGCGUGAGUGAUGAAGGCCUUAGGGUUGUAAAGCUCUUUCACCGGAGAAGAUAAUGACGGUAUCCGGAGAAGAAGCCCCGGCUAACUUCGUGCCAGCAGCCGCGGUAAUACGAAGGGGGCUAGCGUUGUUCGGAAUUACUGUGCGUAGAGCGCACGUAGGCGGAUAUUUAAGUCAGGGGUGAAAUCCCAUAGCUCAACUCUGGAACUGCCUUUGAUACUGGGUAUCUUGAGUAUGGAAGAGGUAAGUGUAAUUCCGAUGUAGAGUUGAAAUUCGUAGAUAUGCGGAGGAACACCAGUGGCGAAGGCGGCUUACUGGUCCAUUACUGACGCUGAGGUGCGAAAGCGUGGGGAGCUAACAGGAU